AUUGAACGCUGGCGGCAGGCCUAACACAUGCAAGUCGAACGGUAACAGGAAGCAGCUUGCUGCUUCGCUGACGAGUGGCGGACGGGUGAGGAAUGUCUGGGAAACUGCCCGAUGGAGGGGGAUAACUACUGGAAACGGUAGCUAAUACCGCAUAACGUCGCAAGACCAAGAGGGGGACCUUAAGGCCCCUUUCCAACCGGUGUGCCCAGAUGGGAUUAGCUAGUAGGUGGGGUAACGGCUCACCCAGGCGACGAUCCCUAGCUGGUCUGAGAGGAUGACCAGCCACACUGGAACUGAGACACGGUCCAGACUCCUACGGGAGGCAGCAGUGGGGAAUAUUGCACAAUGGGCGCAAGCCUGAUGCAGCCAUGCCGCGUGUAUGAAGAAGGCCUUCGGGUUGUAAAGUACUUUCAGCGGGGAGGAAGGGAGUAAAGUUAAUACCUUUGCUCAUUGACGUUACCCGCAGAAGAAGCACCGGCUAACUCCGUG
rnacentral:rRNA from 1 species